CUCUCUCAAACCCUCGGGUUUGGUAUUGAGUGAUACUCUUAGUCGAACUAGGCGUUUGCUUGAAAAGUAUUGGCACGAGUGGUACUAAAUAGUACUGACAGAAUAUUUCAAUGUAUUAGGUUUAUCCAACUCGUUGAGUCUUCUGGCGGUGAAUUUUUGGUAUAUUGGCUUUGCCUUACAAAACAACAAACAA
rnacentral:misc_RNA from 1 species